rnacentral:rRNA from 1 species
UACGUAUGGAGCAAGCGUUAUCCGGAUUUACUGGGUGUAAAGGGUGCGUAGGUGGCAGUGCAAGUCAGAUGUGAAAGGCCGGGGCUCAACCCCGGAGCUGCAUUUGAAACUGCGCGGCUAGAGUACAGAAGAGGCAGGCGGAAUUCCUAGUGUAGCGGUGAAAUGCGUAGAUAUUAGGAGGAACACCAGUGGCGAAGGCGGCCUGCUGGACUGUUACUGACACUGAGGCACGAAAGCGUGGGGAGCAAACAGG